rnacentral:rRNA from 1 species
AACGUAGGUGGCAAGCGUUAUCCGGAUUUACUGGGCGUAAAGGGUGUGCCGGCGGGUCACUAAGUGGUGUAUGAAAUCGCUCGGCUCAACCGGGCGGGGUUAUGCCAGACUGGUGGUCUAGAGGACGAGAGAGGGACAUGGAAUUCCGGGUGUAGUGGUGAAAUGCGUAGAGAUCCGGAGGAACCCCAGAGGCGAAGGCGGUGUCCUGGCUCGGUCCUGACGCUCAGACACGAAAGCAUGGGGAG